CGCUAUGGCCAUGCCACCGUGAACACGCCCGAUCCCAUCUGAUCUCAAAAGCUAGGUAGGGUCGGGCCUAGUUAGUAGUUGGGUGGGAGACCUCCUAAGAAGAUCGAGUGCUGUAGGCGU
ensembl:rRNA 5S_rRNA 5S ribosomal RNA